rnacentral:rRNA from 1 species
UACGGAGGGUGCGAGCGUUGUCCGGAAUCACUGGGCGUAAAGGGCGCGUAGGCGGCUUGGGAAGUCCGUGGUGAAAGCUCGUGGCUCAACUACGAGUCGGCCAUGGAUACUCCUAAGCUCGAGUCGACUAGAGGCAAAUGGAAUUCCGGGUGUAGCGGUGGAAUGCGUAGAGAUCCGGAAGAACACCGGUGGCGAAGGCGGUCUGCUGGGGUCGAACUGACGCUGAGGCGCGACAGCGUGGGGAGCAAACAGG